rnacentral:rRNA from 1 species
UGGGGAAUAUUGCACAAUGGGCGAAAGCCUGAUGCAGCGACGCCGCGUGAGGGAUGACGGCCUUCGGGUUGUAAACCUCUUUCAGCAGGGACGAAGCGAAAGUGACGGUACCUGCAGAAGAAGCACCGGCUAACUACGUGCCAGCAGCCGCGGUAAUACGUAGGGUGCAAGCGUUGUCCGGAAUUACUGGGCGUAAAGAGUUCGUAGGCGGUUUGUCGCGUCGUUUGUGAAAACUCACAGCUCAACUGUGAGCCUGCAGGCGAUACGGGCAGACUUGAGUACUGCAGGGGAGACUGGAAUUCCUGGUGUAGCGGUGAAAUGCGCAGAUAUCAGGAGGAACACCGGUGGCGAAGGCGGGUCUCUGGGCAGUAACUGACGCUGAGGAACGAAAGCGUGGGUAGCAAACA